AAAGAGAAGCAUCUGAUUUGAUUUCUUGACUGUUUCUUAAUUUCUCUAUUUUUUAAUUUAAAAAUUAAAUAAAUACUAUGCAGACACAUACACAUAUACUUUUUUUGUAUUGUUGCAAUGUAAUUAUAAAGUUUGAAUCAAAUAAAAGGAUUUAAUCAAAGAGUGACAUAUUAUAAGUGUAUUACCGUAUUAUAUAAUAUACUUUUUAACUUUCAAUUAUACAUGCCUUUUUUGAUAAAAUAUAGUCCUUAAUUAUAUAUUUUUAAAAAAUUAAUGAUUGGGUAUAAGAGAUAUUUAUUUUCUUUUAGGGGAUGUGAGAGAUAUAUUGUAUUACUAUGAUGCAUGUAGGCAUUAAAAUAAUAAAAUUAAAAUUUUCUUUCAUUA
rnacentral:misc_RNA from 1 species